rnacentral:lncRNA from 1 species
AACUAACAAUACUAAUUGCUGGUAAGGACAACAAGCAACAGGAGCUCUUAUUCAUUACUGAUGCGAAUGUAAAAUGGUACAGCCACUUUAGAAAACUGGCAGUUUCUUACAAAUCUAAACUUAGUCUUAACAUAUGAUCCAGCAAACGCACUGCUAGGUAUUUACCAAACUAAUUUUAACAUUUAAGUCCUCUCAGAAACCUACAUGUGAUUGUUUAUAGCCACUUUAUUUUUAUUUUUUUGAGACAGAGUCUCACUCUGUUACCCAGGCUGGAGUGCAGUGGUGUGAUCUCGGCUCACUGCAUCCUCCACCUCCCAGGUUCAAGUGAUUCUUCUGCCUCAGCCUCCGGAGUAGCUAGGACUACAGGCAUGCACCACAACACCUGGCUAAUUUGUGUAUUUUUAGUAGAGAUGGGGUUUCUCCAUGUUGGCCAGGCUGGUCUCGAACUCCUGACCUCAGGUUAUCUGCCCGCCUUGGCCUCCCAAAGUGCUGGGAUUACAGGCAUGAGCCACUACGCCUGCCCUGGAUGCACCUUUUUAAAUUGUAGGUUUUAGUUUACAUAAUAAUUGUACAUAUUUUAUGGGGUACACGAUGAUGUUUCAACAUAUAAUGUAUAAUGAUGAGAUCUGGGUAAUUAGCAUAUCCAUCAUCUCAAACAUUUAUCAUUUCUUUGUGUUAGGAACCUUCAAUAUUCUCCUUCUACCUAUUUGAAACUAUAUAUUAUUGUUAACUGUAUUGUACUCAAUAUGUAUAUUGAAACUGUAUAUUACUGUUAACUGUAGUCAUCCUACAGUAUUAACUGUAGGGCAUUCUAAGUGCACUAGAACUUAAUUCUCUUAUCUAGCUGCAGUUUUGUAUGCUGAGCUUGCAGUGUCUUACAGUGCCAGAAAGAAGGAAGUACUCAGGAAGAACACACACACACACACACACACACACACACACACACACCCCACACACACACCCGAUGUGGUUAUUACAAAGGGACAUGGGAGCCAACUCAAAGACCUCCCAGUGGCCAAAGCUGGAACAAUGUGGGGCAAUAAAAAUAGAUGACGUGGCCAGGCUUGUCUUGAAACUUCUGAGCUCAAGCAAUCCACCCACCUUGGUCUCCCAAAGUGCUGGGAUUACAGGCAUGAACCACUGCACCCGGCCCUGAAAUGUGGACUAUAGUUAGUAAUAAUGUAUCAAGACUUUUGUUUUUCAGUCUGGCAUGUAUCUUAGAAGUCAUCUGUCCCAUUCAUACAAGAAAAAAGCUGAACGAACUGAAAAUUAAUAACUCUUCUUAGACCCAUCAGAGAACUGAGGUCACAGGGCAAACUACUGCCCCCAACACUGGAGGGGCAGACUGGAAAAUACAGAGAAACAGAGGGGUGUGUGUGUGUGUGUGUGUGUGUGUAUGUGUGCAUGUGUGUGUGAUGGAGUCUUGCUGUGUCACCCAGUCUGGAGUGCAGUGACUCAAUCUCAGCUCACUGCAGCCUCCGCCUCCCAGGUUCAAGCGAUUCUUCUGCCUCAACCUCCCAAGUACAGGUGAACUGCCACCACACCUGGCUAAUUUUUGUAUUUUAAGUAGAGAUGAGGUUUCACCAUGUUGGCCAGGCUGGUCUCAAACUCCUGACCUCAGGUGAUCUGCCUGCCUCAGCCUCCCAAAGUGCUAGUAUUACAGACAUGAGCCACCACGCCCAG